rnacentral:rRNA from 1 species
ACUCCUACGGGAGGCAGCAGUGGGAAUAUUGCACAAUGGGCGCAAGCCUGAUGCAGCAACGCCGCCGUGAGCGAAGAAGGUCUUCGGAUCGUAAAGCUCUUUUCUUUAGGGAAGAAAACUGACGGUACCUAAGGAAUAAGCACCGGCUAAAUACGUGCCAGCAGCCGCGGUAAUACGGAGGGUGCGAGCGUUUAAUCGGAAUUACUGGGCGUAAAGCGCAUGCAGGUGGUUUGUUAAAGUCAGAUGUGAAAGCCCGGGCUCAACCUCGGAAGUGCAUUUUGAAACUGGCAAACUAGAGUACUGUAGAGGGGUGGUAAGUUACUA